AGAAGGAAACCCUGGCGACUUCUGCCCACCUGUGCUGUGGCCAAAGAGAACCCCGAAGGAGAAGCUGCAGGAGGCCAGCAGCAGGCUGCUCUCAGAGGAGAGAGGGAAAGGAGAGACGAAGGCUUGGGCCAGGGCCUGCCCCCUCCCCUAAAACCACAGCAUGAACGUGAGAAGAGCAGACGUUCUUGAAGACUCACUGUGUGCCUGCCCUGUUCUCAGCACCUUAUAUGCUUGAGUCAUUUAAUCUCCACAAUGGCACCAAGAGGUGUGUGCCACUGUACCUGGCCCAAGUAGAAUCUUGACCCGAUAGUAUCCGUGGUCAGGGGUAAGUGGGAUUGGAGGUGGCAGAAGGGACGUCAUCUCUAGCACAGGAUCAGCCCCAGCAGAGCUGACACAGGCACAAUUCAUCGUGGGCUGGCAGAGUCUCUCCUCCAUCCAGGGGUCUCCAACUCACAUGCCACCAACUCAGCAUGUGACCUCCAAGAAUCUCACUCUGCCGGCCUGGAUGGAGUGCAGUGGUGUCA